GAUGAACGCUGGCGGCGUGCCUAAUACAUGCAAGUCGAGCGAAUGGAUUAAGAGCUUGCUCUUAUGAAGUUAGCGGCGGACGGGUGAGUAACACGUGGGUAACCUGCCCAUAAGACUGGAAUAACUCCGGGAAACCGGGGCUAAUACCGGAUAACAUUUUGAACCGCAUGGUUCGAAAUUGAAAGGCGGCUUCGGCUGUCACUUAUGGAUGGACCCGCGUCGCAUUAGCUAGUUGGUGAGGUAACGGCUCACCAAGGCAAUGAUCCGUAGCCGACCGGAGAGGGUGAUCGGCCAAACUGGGACGGAGACACGGCCCAGACUCCUACGGAAGGCAGCAGUAGGGAAUCUUCCGCAAUGGACGAAAGUCUGACGGAGCAACGCCGCGUGAGUGAUGAAGGCUUUCGGGUCGUAAAACUCUGUUGUUAGGGAAGAACAAGUGCUAGUUGAAUAAGCUGGCACCUUGACGGUACCUAACCAGAAAGCCACGGCUAACUACGUGCCAGCCGCCGCCGUAA
rnacentral:rRNA from 1 species